rnacentral:tRNA from 1 species
GCGCCUGUAGCUCAGCUGGAUAGAGCGGCCGCCUCCUAAGCGGCAGGUCGAGUGUUCGAAUCACUUCAGGUGCGCCA